rnacentral:misc_RNA from 1 species
GAUGAAGAACGCAGCGAAAUGCGAUAAGUAAUGUGAAUUGCAGAAUUCAGUGAAUCAUCGAAUCUUUGAACGCACAUUGCGCCCGCCAGUAUUCUGGCGGGCAUGCCUGUUCGAGCGUCAUUUCAACCAUCAAGCCCCCGGCUUGUGUUGGGGACCUGUGGCUGCCGCAGGCCCUGAAAACCAGUGGCGGGCUCGCUGUCACACCGAGCGUAGUAGAUUUUCAUCUCGCUCAGGGCGUGCUGCGGGUUCCGGCCGUAAAAAGCCUUAUUUACCCAAGGUUGACCUCGGAUCAGGUAGGAAGACCCGCUGAACUUAAGCAUAUCAAUAAGCGGAGGA